CAUGAAGACAGUUUCUUCUUCCUCUGGAUGUGGUUGUUUGUUGUGAUACACAAAAAGGUGGUAGCCACCUUCAACCAUGGGGAGAGCCAGCCCGAGGACAAGGAUGAUAUGUGAAGCCAAAAGCAGUUGACUGUGACACAUGCUGGAAGUGUCUCUGAAGAUGGUUCUAUUUCAGUAAUGCGAGAGCCUGCCUUCCUAGGGUCACUCUGGAUCACUGUCAUCAGCUAAUGUAGUGCAAGCUAUUGACCCACAACUUUACAGAGUUGAAGAGGCCACUGCCUAUAAUCUACCUACAGGUUUCCUGGCAUUUCUGGUGUUUCUUCAUAAUCCACUGUGAAACUGGUUUCAGUGUUCAACCCACAUUGCCUUUACAGGUAAGAAAUUUCAACAAUUUAAUUUUUGUUAUGCCUAAGAGCCUUUCCUACUGCUUCAGAGGAUGCCCACUUUUUAUUUGGCAAUCAUUUAAAUGGCAUUUCCAAAACACCAGGCAUUUUUUUCCCCAAGUGCUUUGCAAAUACAAAUUCACGUCAUCUGUACAUCAGCCUUGUGAAAUCGCAUGGCAGACACUGUUGCCCAUCCAUGUGCCCUCGGUCCACUUCCCAAUUACACCUGCGGUCACAGUGGACAGUUUCACGUGAACUGACAGUGAGGACCACGUGUGUACAGGCAAACAUCCAGCUUCCUAUCCUCUACAAUAUUGCGAAGGUCCUCAACAUGAUGGCGCCCCCAAUGCCCACGGAACGACUGUUCCUUUACACCCCCUUCAAGAGCUACUCUCUCCGCACUGUCUCACCUGCCCUUAUUCCUUCACGUGUACUUUCCUGGGAUCACCUUUCAAAAAAUCAAUUCUAUCUAAGUCCUUUUAUCUGGGUCUACUUUGGGAUGAAACCAAACUACAAUACUACAUUCUAUUACUAUCCUCAUUUUAUAGGUAAUAAACUGAGGCACAGAGUGGUUUAAUAAUUUGCUCAAGGUUAUCCAGCUCAUGGAGUAAGGAUCUGAAUUCAGGCUUCAGAGUCCAUGUUCUUCACCACUACCCUAUACUGGCCUCUAAAUAUCAAACUCUAUAAUUUGGUAACACAUCCAUCUUCCACCUACACUGAUCAUUCUCAAUAAUAUGAAUGGGGAAAGGAAUCUGGCAAACUAUGGCCCUCAGCCAAACCUGGCACAUGGCCUGUCUUUGUAAAUGAGUUGCGUUAGACUACAGCCAUGUCCACUUGUUUCCACACAGUCUGGGGCUGCUUUUGCACUUCAAUGGUAGAAUUGAGUAUUUGUGAUAGAGACCAUGCAGCCUGCAAAGCCUAAAAUGUUUACUAUCUGACCCUUAUUUUCAAGAAGUUUGCCAACUCAUACUAUUUCUCAGUAAAUCAUAAUCUUUCCCAGCUGCAAUACAUUUAAAAGAUGUCAGUGAGACUCCUAGAAUACGGCUUGACUUUGGGUUGGGUAGUUUUGGGGAUUCUGAAUAUCUGGUCAACAGGCAUGUUUCUCUCUGCGCUAUUCUAUCUGAGCCCAGGGAUUGGUCAAACACUCAAAUGCUGAGCCUGUGGCUCGUUAUUCUCCUGCCACCAAAUGGUCUGUGACUAGUCCUCCUUUUCACAACAUGCUUGUAUUUCUAAGAGCUACGAGGUGUCUCUUUCCCACUAACAAAUAGGCAACACCAGCUUGCUUUAAAAACUGGGUUAGGCCCAAAGGAAGCUUCUGCCAGAGAUGUAAUCAUAUGGAAGAGGAACUUGACUAAUUCUGUGAGGGCAAGAGAGAUCUCAUCUUAUUUUCGAUAACUCAGUGGGAACAUUUUGAUUUGUUUGGUAAAGUUGUUAGGUUACAUGUUUGUUUGGGAGUUUCUGUGUCUACGGCCAUUUCUGCUGGGCCUACAACACAGCUUUGGCUUUCUACAUUUACACACACGUAUCCAAAGCACCUUUGCAGCCAUUCACACAAAGCCACCCAUUGGCUGUCCCAGACAAUCAAAAAGAUUAUUAUGCACAAUUUAUGCCAG